CCCUUUGAUACUCUGGGCGGCACGCGCGCUACACUGGUUUAUAUAACGUGUAAUUUGGACGAUAGUCUGUAUAAAUCACUAAUAUAAAACCGUGAAUGGGAUAGUUUAUUGCAACUUACAAACUUUAACUAGGAAUCCCUUGUAGAAGUAGUGAAUUAUACUGCUUCGAAUACGUCCCUGCCGAUUGUACACACCGCCCGUCGUUCCUUCCGACUGGUACUCAUUGUGAAUUGCGAGGAGAUUCUGUCAAAUCGUUGUAAAUGCUGGGUAUUGGAGGAAGAAAAAGUCGUAACA
rnacentral:rRNA from 1 species